AGGAGCAUUAAUCCUAGCUCUGCUACAACCUUACUGUGGGGGUUAUUGCUGCACUGCUAGCUCAGCCAGAGGUUUGCUAUGAUUGCCUGCUGUGUUCCAUAUCUGUGCUACUAUGAACAAAUGAGGUGUGAUGCUACUGACUAAAAGUGUCUGAGACAG
rnacentral:lncRNA from 1 species